rnacentral:rRNA from 1 species
GAUGAACGCUGGCGGCGUGCCUAAUACAUGCAAGUCGAGCGAAUGGAUUAAGAGCUUGCUCUUAUGAAGUUAGCGGCGGACGGGUGAGUAACACGUGGGUAACCUGCCCAUAAGACUGGGAUAACUCCGGGAAACCGGGGCUAAUACCGGAUAACAUUUUGAACCGCAUGGUUCGAAAUUGAAAGGCGGCUUCGGCUGUCACUUAUGGAUGGACCCGCGUCGCAUUUAGCUAGUUGGUGAGGUAACGGCUCACCAAGGCAACGAUGCGUAGCCGACCUGAGAGGGUGAUCGGCCACACUGGGACUGAGCCACGGCCCAGACUCCUACGGGAGGCAGCAGUAGGGAAUCUUCCGCAAUGGACGAAAGUCUGACGGAGCAACGCCGCGUGAGUGAUGAAGGCUUUCGGGUCGUAAAACUCUGUUGUUAGGGAAGAACAAGUGCUGGUUGAAUAAGCUGGCACCUUGACGGUACCUAACCAGAAAGCCACGGCUAACUACGUGCCAGCCGCCGCAGUAA